rnacentral:rRNA from 1 species
UCAUUAUUCCCCUGGGUAGUAAGAUACACUUAAACCUUAUAUAUAUGGCGGUCUUAACACCUUAAAGAAACUCGCUUUAUAAUCGUCAACCCCCGUUAAAUUUCACUCAACUUAUAAAAGUCUAUAUACCGCCGUUUAAGAUCAAACUUACUAGUAACGCUCUAAUUCUAAUAAUUACCAAAAAUCAGGUCAAGGUGUAGCCAACAAUUGAGAAAAAGUAAGUUACAUUAAAAACAAUUUAAGAAUAAACACUUGAAAAAAUGAAUGAAAAAGAAUUUAUUUGUACAUUAAGAUUAAAAUCCUUAAUAGAACAGUUAAAUUAAGACGC